GACAGGGGUGGCAAGCGUUGUUCGGAAUAACUGGGCGUAAAGGGUCUGUAGGUGGUUUUUCAAGUCUUUGGUAAAACGCCGUGGCUCAACCAUGGUUUGGCCAAGGAGACUGGGAGACUAGAGGCUGGGAGAGGGAAGCGGAAUUUCUGGUGUAGCGGUGAAAUGCGUAGAGAUCAGAAAGAAGGCCGGUGGCGAAGGCGGCUUCCUGGAACAGACCUGACACUGAGAGACGAAAGCGUGGGGAGCAAACAGG
rnacentral:rRNA from 1 species